GAUGAACGCUGGCGGCGUGCUUAACACAUGCAAGUCGAGCGAGAUUAUUCUUCGGAAUAGUCUAGCGGCGGACGGGUGAGUAACACGUGGGCAACCUGCCUUGUAGAGGGGGAUAGCCUUCUGAAAGGAAGAUUAAUACCGCAUAAUGUUAUUGAAAGGCAUCUUUCGAUGAUCAAAGGAGCAAUCCACUACAAGAUGGGCCCGCGGCGCAUUAGCUAGUUGGUGAGGUAACGGCUCACCAAGGCGACGAUGCGUAGCCGACCUGAGAGGGUGAUCGGCCACACUGGGACUGAGACACGGCCCAGACUCCUACGGGAGGCAGCAGUGGGGAAUAUUGCACAAUGGGCGCAAGCCUGAUGCAGCGACGCCGCGUGAGGGAUGAAGGUCUUCGGAUUGUAAACCUCUUUCAGUAGGGACGAAGCGAAAGUGACGGUACCUAAAGAAGAAGCACCGGCUAACUACGUGCCAGCAGCCGCCGUAA
rnacentral:rRNA from 1 species